rnacentral:rRNA from 1 species
GACGAGGGAUCCUAGCGUUGCUCGGAAUCAUUGGGCGUAAAGCGGGUGUAGGUGGCUUGGUAAGUCAGAUGUGAAAGCCCAGGGCUUAACCCUGGAAGUGCAUUUGAUACUGCUGAGCUUGAGUGCCAGAGAGGUUACUAGAAUACCUGGUGUAGUGGUGAAAUACGUAGAUAUCAGGUGGAACACCGGAGGCGAAGGCGAGUAACUGGCUGGACACUGACACUGAGACCCGAAAGUGCGGGGAGUCAAACAGG